AUGCGGCAGUGCCGGGCCGCGGGGCUGGCGGGGCUGGCCGCGGUGCUCCUGGUGGCUGUGAGCAGAGCUCAGGUGCAGCAGGAGCCGUCGGCAGAGACCAGCGAGGGCAUCGGCAUCAACAUCACUUGCUCACACCCCAACAUCCAGUCUUAUGAUUACAUCUACUGGUACCGACAGCUCCCGGGCCGAGGACCCGCAUUCCUCGUCAGCGCCGUUAGAGGCUCCAAGCAGGUGCCGGACCCGGAGGGGCAGGUGUUUGUGUCGGCAGACCGCCGCUCCAGCGCCCUGUGGCUCGCCCGGCCCCGGCUCGGCGACGCGGCCGUGUAUUACUGCGCCGUGGGCACACGGGAAGCGAAGCCGGGGCUGCGGCCGGGCACGAACCGCUUGGGGCGGGGCGGGGGCACAGUGCCGUCCGGGCCCGCAGGGGGCGCUGCCUGCAUGGCCGCCAAACUCCAUCCUGACCAGGAUGCACCUCCAUGAGUUCUCGAGAAAAAUGAGCCCGGCACUCAUACCAGCCACUGACUGAGGCCAGUUUGAGUCAGACAGUUAUGUCCGAAGUGAGUAGGACAGCACAAUUGACAGCACGAGCUGUGUUUGACAGCAGAGAAGGUGGAUGGAAAUUAUCCACAUAGUUUUAUUCCACCUUCUAUCUUCACAUUCUUCCCCACUGUCACACUGAUGAGAGCAGGUGGAGCUCUGUUCCUGGGAGCCUGCAGGGUGGUUUGCCUCCAUCGCCUCCCACACACUCCUAGUUUUUCCUGUGAGCAUAGCAAUGUCUUUGUUCUCUCUUUGCUGGAUGUGUGAGGGUCACUGUUGGAAGAAACACGGUAAGGCAAAGGCCAGUGGCCACAUCUAGCGCCCAAGAGAGGAGCUCUUCAAUGUGUCACAACAUACCACUCUUCUGGGAACUGAGACUGGUUUUCUUAAACACUCAUCUUACAGCCACAAAGAAGAAAGACAUUCUCCCUGAGCAGCUUUGGAGGCCAUAAACAAUGGGAAUCAUAGAAUCAUAGAAUUGUUUGGUUAAGAAUCUGAAUAAACAAAGUCUACUAGUCCUGUUCAACCUAAAUUAUUCUAAGAUUCAGUGGGACGUAAGAAGAGUAAGAAUAGUUGCAUUUUCUAUGUUUGUUAAAGGAAGGAAGAAGUGGACAAACAGAGAUUACAACAGGUUUACACGUGGAAGGGAUUUUUUUUUUUUUUUAUAAUUUCUUCCCAGUGAUCUUUUAAGAAAGCAAACUUUGAGAUGGGAUGAGAUAGCUUGCAGUAUUUUUUUUUUUAACAUAUAGUUCAGAAUAUAUUUUUAUUCUUCUUUUUAGCAUUAUUAUUCUAUUAUAGUGGUUUGAUGAAGUCCUUUUGAGACAGCCUUUGUUGGAGCCUAGUUCCUCACUUCAGUUGCACAUUGGCCCACUCCAUCCAAACACAGAGAGACACCUGGGGCUGCUUUACUGCAGGGUUCCUUGCCUCUUUCUGGGGACUUGGGGAAAAUAUAUUGUUGCCAGGUGAUGGAGGAAGGAAAAGGGAGAGGUGGUAUAUGGAGGACAUCUGAUCCCAUAAGUAAAGUUACAAUUUCUAAAUAACUGGAGUCCUGAGGAGAGGAUAAGUGGGGCAGAACAUCAGAAACUCUACAGUGUCCAUUAGGCAAGUACAAAAGAGUAGGUAUUUAUUGCAACAGAUGGGAGGACUCCGCUGGAAACUCAGAUCAGGAACACAGCCUCCCUGGCACGGGUACUCCAGAGUCACCACAUCUCCAAACUGUGAAGAUUUAGGCUGAGGAAGAGACACGUGUAACAGCUGAAGGAGGGAGGAUCCCAACUUCAUCCACACUGAAGCAUAAGGACAAGCAUAUUCUCCUCCUCAAUUUAUUCUUUUGGUCUCUUUGCCAAGUCAUUUCCUGCAGCUCUGCAGCUCUGUUCUCUUAGGACUGUUGGUGGAGAUGUGUGGUUUUUUGAAGCUCUCUGACACAUGCAGAAGGAUCAGUCUCAGCAUGCACCUCAGGUAUCUCAUCCUCACUGCCUGAAGCAAUCAGUGACUUUAGCUGAUGACAUGUUUCUUCUCUCCCGGAGACUCUUCCCCCUAUCAAAUUCUCUCCUCCAAGAACUGCUCUUGAAUUAUUGGAAAAAAUGCUGGGAAGCAUUAGAUCAUGUCUUGCUUUCUCCACCCGUUUUCUCAUGAUGCUGUUAACACUAGAAAAGAAAAGAUGAAGUAGAGAAGACCAUCUCAAUCAUCUCGGACCUCCUUCCAGUCCUUCCCUUUUACCAACCAUUCUCAUCCCUUUGCCUGUCCCUGCUGAUCUGUCUGGGCCCAAUGUUUCACAUAUGUAUUAUUGCAGAAGAUUUUUUCUAUUCUUUAAAUAUAAUUUUUUGGCUUGGCAAGAUACUCAUAGAAGACAGCUCAAAUUGGAUGCAGGAACGCAGAAGCUUCUCAUCCCACUUUGGUGUUCUGCCAGCCUCUGUUUUGUCUGGCACAUGUAAUAGAGCAUGCACUGAAUACUCAUUUCCUUCUGCAUGCCAGAGCUAGCAUAGCUUUCUUUUCCCUCCCUUCCCUAGGUCCAUCUGAGGGGAAAUGGAAGGGGUACCCAGCUCUCCCUUGGCAGUGCUGCUUCCCCUGAGCACUCAGAGAUCUGCAGAGAAUCCUCUUACAGAAGGGGCUGAAUUCAGUGGCUUGAGAGGAAAGACAAGGUGAUAAAAAAGAUAACACCCUGGAGCUCUCCUCCCUGGAGACGACCAUUUUUACCAUGAACUGUGAAGAGGGCAUGUGGUCCAUUCUGAGUUGUAUGCUAUUCUGCCCAGCAGGGGCUGGAAGAAAUCAGUCAGAGACUUGCUUCAGCCUGGCAGAACCAUGCAAAAUUCAUUCCUGUCCUCUGACUUUUUCCCAACUCCCAGCAGGCUGGACCUUGCCUGGGAGGGCAUUUCUAGAGAACAUAAUGGUGCUGGUACAUGACUUCAGCAAGAAUUUGAUUCCCCAGGCUCCACCUGGGGAAAUCCCCAAGUUGAGAGGAGAUGGUGCAGGUUUUCGUGUGCAUUUGACAAACCCCCGUGGAAAUAUCCCCCCACUUUGCUCCA